ACAGGACCUUAGCACCAAGACCAUAAUCCUGCAGAUUGACAACAAAUCACAUCCGGCACCUGCAAGUGCGCUCUGGCAAUAGAUGCAGCUAUCACGGGGCGUCCAGCGGAUCCACGAGAAGCCAAACUGAUGAGAUUUACCUCAAGCUGCGGAUGAGUAUAGGUUUGUCGCUGGAUUGCACUUUUUGUCCUCCUGUCUGGGCACUAUUGCUAAUUUAGUAAAGCAGCAUAGUUGAGUUGGGCACUCCUGAGUAUAUUAGGUAUUUUAGUAAUGUAAGCAUCUUAUCUGAUUGUUGUCAUUUAUGAAUCUUAUCCAAUGAUGUACUCGUGCCACAGUUCAUUGGCGGCUUACUACUCAGUGGCCACAGUUCUGAACUUGGUUCAUGCUCAUUAUCAGAAUGCAAUUUUCUAUUAAGAGUACAUUGUUCUAGCACGAUGCUGAUUACAUACAUUAAUCAUGUUCAACACCAUGACCUACUACCGUUUUCUGAUAGUUACACAUGCACAGUUAGCACUUAGCACGACAGAUUCCAACAGAUUGAAACAGGAAAUGCGUUUUUACAUUGGAUCUUUGCUAUUAUGUACUGUUAGAAAAAAUUAUGUGUUCAUUGGUUUGUUUCAAUGCUAUGAAGUGCUUAAUCUUAUUUUCAUAAUUUCCUCACUGCAGAUUUGUGGGUGGUUCAGAGCUUUGAUAUUUGGUGUUAUUUUACGUGGGCGAUUUGCAUGAUGAUAGAUGCAUCAAACAUCAUGAUGUGCUGCUGCUAUAUAUGUUAUUUUCCUUCGGAUCUUCAUAGUUUACACUUUACAUAGAACACAUACAUCUGCAAGUUAUAAUUUUCCUCAUCAUAUUAUUUUUCUGAGAUUAGGCCCAUGGAAAAUGCACUUUGCAAAACAUAUGCACAUUAUUCUCCACUGAUGUGACGAUUCUGAUAUAUGUUCUCCAGGGCAAGACUAGCGGUUCUAAAGGUCUAGAGCUAGAUAAUUUGCUGCUAAUGAUCUCCAGGCGUUUGUCUAGGCCUCAUGCUUGUAGUUGUGACUCGGCGCGCUCAUUGGAUGGCCAGGUGCGGUGGACAAAGGCUGUGCAACAAAUGCUUUGUUGGCUGGCUCUGGACCUUCGAUGACGCCUCCACCGACAUCCAAGCCCUCCUUCCAGUUGUCAACUCCAAUAAUAAGUUUACAUAAUUAGUGCACUGGAAUCUAUGUUCCUGGUUUACCGUUUCUACAUUUGAAAUUUUCAUUGCUGUAUUGGGUUGCCAAUUGCAUUAUGAAUCGUGUUCAAGCUAUCUGUUGGAACUUGGCAGUAAUAUUAUUGUGACCUAUGAUUUUAAUAGAAUCAAGGAAAUGAGAACCUGUGCAUGCAUGGUACACCUAUCAUGUUUUUUCAGCUA